AGGGCUAAAAGGGCAAAAUUAUCUUCCAUCCCCUGGCUCUGUCGGCCGGGAAGCAAAUCCAGCAGGCUUUACCUGGAUCACAUCCCUGGCGCUGAGGUCUCUGCCACCACUGUCCCUCUGACGACAGCUCCGGCUCACGCUGCCCACGCAGGAGGCUGGAGGGGAUCCAGGCCGGGAUCCCGGGCCAGCCCUCACCUGUUGUCCCCAGGAAACGUCCCUCAGGUGUUGGGGACACUGUCUGUGAGGGAAGGGAGGCUGCUCCGAGCUGUCCCUCAGCCGCAGGCCGUGCCUGGCACUGUGACACGCAGGGAUGGCCUCUGCCUUCCUCCGCCCUGUGCCUGUCAAUGUUUAACCGGCCCGGAGGAAGUGACACGGCCGGUGACACACGGAGCCAGCCCCGCACGGUGACAGAGCCAACCCCGCACGGUGACAGAGCCAGCCCCGCACGGUGCCCGCACAGCAGCGCCGCGGGACAGCCGGACCGGACCCGGCACGGCCAGGGAGAGCGCUCGGGGAGGUCAGGGGGGCAACCAGCAGGGGACAGGGAUGGCCUGGGACAUGUCACAGGGACACAGGUGUGUCUCAAUAAAGCUAGAGCAAUAAAAAAGGGAUAAAUAACAUCUGAUGAGCACAUUCCCUCUCUGGUUGCCCAAGCAGGAGAAGUGCAGAAGGUUAAAACGAAUUUUCAACCUGAAUUAAUCAAGAUGACACUUCAUAAAAACGCUUUGGAAAGGAUAAUUGCUGCUUUUAGAACUUUUACAAAGCUGUCAUUUGGCACUGCUGAGAAGAGAUGGUCCUCUCUACACUGAGGGGAUGGGCAUGAACCAGUGAAGAGCAAUCAGAGACAUGACAGUGCCAAGCUGUGUUAGAGAAGACCAGCACAUUGACAUUUUAUUAAUUAUGGACAUUUUAUUAAUUAUUAAUUACUGCCCUUGUCAGCUCCUUCCUUGCUUUGGCCUUCCUGAUGAACCACAGUGUUGGGAUGAGUAAAACUGUGGGGUAGGAUGGAGUGGGAUAAGAUGGAGUGGGAUAAGAUGUGGUCCCCAGUGUGCAUGCACAAGGUUACCCAUGCUCAUGAUGUUUAAAAGACCAGGUCCUUACUUUUCCAGCCUGAUUUCAAUGGAAAAGCAUCUUGGUCACUUUGUGAAUCACCAGACAAGUCCUGCCUCCCACUCCCUUUCCCCAGGACACUUCUUUCCAAUUUUUCCUUUUUCUUCUGCUGCUGAGAAGGAGGAUUUUCAUCCUUUUUAACCCCACCAUCCCCCCUCAGCCCUUCCAAACCCAUUUUUGGAUGGUGUGUACACUGUGAACUCCUAAGCAAACCCCCACAUUUUUGUUCUGGGGCGUGUGAGGCUGGAACACAUGUCUGCACAGCUUGCUGUGCCAUCCCACACAAGGAACUCUGAGGGAAAUGGACUUCCUGGGAUCCACUCUGGGAAACCUUCUGUCCCUGCCACUGGGGGCACAAGGGUAAUUUCUGUUUCCCCUGCAGGAGAAUGGGACAAAUUGUCACAAUGGGAAUGGCUUCAGACUGAAAGAGCUGGUUUAGAUGGGAAAUAAGGAAGAAAUUCUUCCCUGAGAUGGGGGGGGAGGCUCUGGCACAGGGUGCCCAGA
ensembl:lncRNA